GUUGAAAAAAACUAGGCGGAUUCUUUUUUGCUCUGGCGGGACGGAUCUCAGGAUUAGCCAAACCCCAAACUGGGUCCUAUUUCCACCGAAUCCAUGUUCGCCGAAGCCCUCUCUCGAAUCCAUCUUUGCCGAAUCCAUCUCUGCCGAAGCUACCACGCACGGGACCAACAUGUGGCAACGGCCACGACUAGGCAAACUGACGGCUACUACGCGCGAUGACUCCGGAGAAACAGUAAAGACACAGCCGGACACAAGUAAUAGAGGAAGCUUUAUCACAACUCGCAAUUGAUGGCGGCGAUGCCUGCUUUGUGCGUUUUCGAGCAAAAAUGAAAAAUGCCGCGUGCAGCGGGGAGGGGGGCUACCACUGGUCGUUGUCGGAGCCUCCUUGUUGUCUUGAGAGAAAGAAACACUUUUUUUCUGAAAAUAGAAAUUUUGAUCUUUUGGCAUGGGAAUUUUACUUGUUAACCAUUUUUUUGUUCAAUUUUCUCCUCUUCUUGUCAUGCUGGUUAUCACAAAAGAGUCCCUCCUAGUAGAUCAGGGAUCGCGCUGUUGGUGCUUAAAGAACAACAUACAAGGACCCUUCUUAUUCAUUACAUCUGGGAAGUUGAGAGGAUCUUUGAACUGCUCGAUCAAAAGGGGAAGAACCGAUUGUUUUUGAAAGUGGGAGUCAAUGUUGUGGAGAACAAUGGCUUUUCCACUAUAGCAAAUCCAAUCACCUAUAAUGUUUGUUUUGAUACCAUUCCUACAUAUGCAAUCACUAAGAUGGACUGUGGGCAUAUUUUCUACAAUGAUUGUUUUUCUCACAAUCCUUCAGCAAACAACAAUUUCAAGUCAGUAAUUGAGGGUGCUGAUAAAGAUGAUCGUCUAGAAAAAUUAAGCAAACAAGUUGAACAAGUGCUCAAACUUUCAGAGUCUCCUGAGAAAACCAAACAAAAUCUGGCCAAUAUAAUUUACACAAAAGUUUAUCUUGGGAUAGUGCCUUUUUACAAGUGAAGGGGUUCUGGAUCAUGAAGAGCUGGCCAUUGUGAAUAGCACAUUCAAUAAAACAUUGAGGCAGAUUUGUUUAAUAAUUGUGCAGGAGAUUAGGAACACAAGAAGUUGAGCGGAAGAUGCAGUUAGCGAGAAGGAUGUCACGGGAAGGAAAUCAACAGGCUCGGUGCAUCCGAAAGACGAGAUGCUGUGGAAGAGUACACAGGUAGACAAGAAGGACGUGCGCGGCGUUUGAGGGACGAAAAGUCAAGAAGGAAGUCUGCUCGAGGAGAAGGUCGGAGUUGGGUUUAGGUAAGCUCAACUCCGGUUGACCGGAGAAUUACCUACGCGAAGAACUACGCGAAGAGAUCAGCUUUGAGCUGAGUUGCCCUAUGGAAGGCACCUUCCAUGGUUGGAAGGCGCCUUCGAUGAAUAGUACAAAGGUGCCUUCCAGCCUUUGAAGGUGCCUUCCGAUAGUCGUUAGUCACGGAUAGAGUUUUAUCCGUAACGAAUAAAACUUAUAUGAUGGAAGGCUCCUUGGAUCACCUUUGAGGCACCUUUAAGCUGCGGAUAAAAUUUUUCAGGGGUUAUAAAAGAUCCCUGGACCUAGAAAAUAAUUAUCAACUAUUGUAUUCAUUUCCUAGUAAUUUUAUGAGCAUUUAACGAAUGUAAAAAGCUUCUCUGCCUUCAACGAAGAAGACUUUUUAGUGUUUUUAUUUGUCUUGGAUUAACAAUUACCUACGUUGUAACCAAGUAAUUAAUUUGCCUCUUCGUUUUAGUUGUUAAUUUAAUUUAGUAUAGUUACUCUACUAAUUAGAGUUGAAAAAUUA